UUGAAACUAGAAAAAUGCUUGUUUUGACCCCUUUUUGGCCCUUAAUUCCUAAACUUUGGCCCCAUAACCCCUAAAAUGAAUCCAAACCUUCUACUUGUGGUUUUAAACAUUGCGAUAUGAUUUCAGAGCAAUUGAAAUACUUCUACACAAGUUAUUAUCCUGAAACUAGAAAAAUGCUUGUUUUGGGCCCCUUUGGGCCCCUAAUUCCUAAUCGGUUGGGACCAUCAUCCCCAAAA
rnacentral:lncRNA from 1 species